rnacentral:rRNA from 1 species
AAGGGCACCACAAGAACGCGUGGAGCAUGUGGCUUAAUUUGACUCAACGCGGGAAAUCUUACCGGGUCCGGACACACUGAGGAUUGACAGGCGAUAUAAUGAAUCUUAUUUUUUAAUAAGAUAUUCGCUAUUCAAAUAUGCUAGUCCUUUCAUGAUUAUGUGGUAGGUGGUGCAUGGCCGUUCGUAGUUCGUGGAGUGAUCUGUCUGCUUAAUUGCGUUUCACUAAGGUCCCAUAUACUAAAGGUAUGUCGACCUCUCUUUAGGCUUAAUUAAGUCUUGGACCCCUCNUUUUUAUUAAGAGCGAGUGUCUAAUGUCUUAUUAUCCUUUAUAUAAGAUAGUGUCGUAUGCUGUUGGGAUCUGAAAGCAACGAACGUGACCGCAACGUCUUGUUGCCUUACCUAUACUGGUAUUAUACUUUAAUACCGUAUAACUCAAGGCUUUACUUAUAAAACUAGACGGACCGCUGCUUCUUUUUCUUAAACCAGAGGAAGGUUGCGGCAAUAACAGGUCUGUGAUGCCCUUAGAUGUUCCGGGCUGCACACGUGCUACAAUGAUCAGUACAGUGAGCAUCUCAAUUUAUCUUUAUAUAGAAUUCAUUCUAUAUAAGAACCGUAUUUUCAAGCAUCUGUCGUUAUUACAAUGAUCAGUAUGCGCGGUAACGCCUGUUUCGAGAGUAAAUGGGUAAUCCAUUGGAAGUAAUGAUUUCUCUAUUUUAUAAUAAAAUGCACGGUUUAUAUACGGCAUUCAUUCCCGAGGCGCCUUUGUAGUGUCUAUGUGCGAAUGUAAUGUUAUGGCUUUGUUAUUAACGGCUAUUCCUUAAUAGUUUUGUUAUUAACGGCUAUAGUUAUCGUAUGUGCGAUUGUCAAUUCGUGGUGGGGACAGACCAUUGUUAACUGUUGGUCUCGGUCUUAACUAGGAAUGCCUCGUACGGGUCUUGGUUCAACAAACCACCCGGAAUACGUCCCUGCCCUUUGUACACACCGCCCGUCGCUCUUACCGAUGGACUACCUUGUGAGCCUGAGGGACUGGAUUUUUCUAUUUAUUUAAUAGAUUUCUAAUCUAUGGAAACUUAGUCGAACAAGGUGGUCUAAAGGAAAGAGAAGUCGUAACAAGGCAACAGUAGGUGAACCUGCUGAUGGAUCA